AUCAAACGUAAUAACACAUUCACAACACACAAACUCGGAUCAUGGGUAUUUGCUGUUCUUGCUGUUGCGGUGAGUCAGGUGGCACCGACAUGCCGUCUUUCGGCGGCGCCGGAGUGGAUAACAGCACGUUCCCGCCUCCCGGACAGGACUUCGACAACGGCGGUCGCCCACAGUUCGUGAGCUAGCGACGAGAGGGAUGACGCGCGACACGACACCGACACGAUUACUGUUAUACAUCGGCGACACGAUGCCUCAGCUGUCUUUGUUCCUUUGGUCUCAAAGGUAUAAAGAUCUACUGGGAACUUUCCAUACUAUACAACAAAUUCUCCAUAUUUUAAUAUAAUGCAUGAAUAGUAGAUACGACCACGUAACACAGCCAGCUAAACUGCUUAUUCUACAACAUGCUUUGUGCAAACCGCAAGUUUCGGAUAAUAUUUUCAAGUUUUACUUUCAGCUGCAGGGCGAGCAACCAACCUAUUCGUGUAUGACAAUUUUCUCUAUGAGUAAUACAAAUAUCUUUGUAUUUGAAUUUCAAAUAGCAAUGAUUGUUAAGUGAUACCUAAGAAUUUAUCGUGUCGGUAAUGUGUCAUCCCUCUGUAAUAUUAUUUGUAACAAACUGAACAGUUGUAAUAUAGUUGUAUUUAUAUGCUCAGAAUAUAUUUUAAAUUUUGUA